rnacentral:lncRNA from 1 species
GCCCUUGCCUUCGAAGGUAACCUUCGUCCCUUUGGUCCAUCCCGGCUUUACGUUAAUUGUUAGUGUCUCCUCUUGCUUGACUAUCAUUCUGUAUACAUAAAGAAAAAAAAUGAAUUUAUAUGCGGGUCGGGUCGUAUCGGGUGGGUGGAAACGGAUUUUAGUAUAGCUUAAUUCAAAUUAGUUUUAAAAAGUUAUAUAAGGAUAAAUUUAGUUCUUAACAUUUAAAUUUUUUUAUUAAUUUGGUAUUUAUUUUUCAGUUAAACUUAUUUUUUUAACAGAGUUAAAUUAUUUUUUUAACAAAAAUAUUAAUUUUUUUUACAAAUUCAGUGUGACAAGUUGUGUAGCAAUCUAUAUGUAUUUCAUAGGAAAAAUAAAAUAAUUUUAAGAAUUAAAAAAAAUUAAUAUUAAGUACACGUGGAUUGUUAUGCAUGAUGUUUGUUGCUUUUAAAAAUUUAAUGUUUUAGUCAAUAUUUUUAUUAAAAAACAAUUAGACUCUUUUUGAAAUUUGAUGGACAAAUUUGACACUUUUUAAAAUAUUAAAAGCUAAAUUAUAGACUAAAUUUAUCAUUAUGCCUUUAAAAAUAUUUACUAUCAUUAUAUUGUUUUUAAAGAGCUAAACCGAAACCAAAAUCGAAACUAAAUUGAACCAUACUAAUUUGGAUCGGUUUAGUUCAUUGGUUUCUUUACUCAUCCUUAAUUGGCCGGCUUAUGUAUUGUAUUAAGAUUAUACUUGCUUGUUGAAGUUUUGCCUAACCCGACAAGAAAUAUGAGUUUUAAAUUUUAUUCGAAAUCGUUUGUAUUUGUAGGUAGUUAUUUUUUUAAUAUUUUAUUAUAUAGCUAUAGGAUACUUGUUAACUCUUUAUUGCUUGUGGAAUCUAAAAACUCCCAUCAAAUGUACCAAAUAUUUUUCCUUAAUUUAAAAUUCUAUAUUUUAUAAAAAAAGACUAUAUUCUAAAAUUAGAAAACAGGUCGAGAUGAGCUUGGACCAAAAUACAGGAGCUCAAACUCAAUUCGUAUUUUAAAUAGAUUUUAAUAUUUUCAUCCAAAUCACACUUUUUGAGCUUAAUUUGUUCAAACCCUUUCAAAUAUAGGGUAAGACUUCAGAUUUAAGUGAGUAGUCUAACCAUAAAUAAGUCUACCUCAAACUCGAGAUUCAAUUUAAUUGUUGAUUAUAGCAUCAUGCAUAUUUAAGUCUUAUGAACAUUAGAUAUACUCGAGAAAAAGAUGGCGUACAUAUAAAAAGAAAUAGAGUUUCAUACCCUUCUUCAGAAAUGACAUCUUUUACGAUGUUGAUCUUUUUUAGCCCUCCAUGACAGAGCUCCUCCAAGGUGCAUUCAAGUGUUUUUUCGACUGGCAAAGGUUUUCUCCGAGCAAUGGAGUGUGAGAAUAUAAUAGGAGUGGUGCUCCUUUGGCUUGUACUUCUCGAAAGGUUAGGUUUUUCGGUUUCUGAAUUGCCUUUUCGGCUCAAACUUCUCGAAAGAGUGGAAGCUCGAUUGACACUAACACUUCUCUUCUGUUGUUGUUUUUGUGGUGUUUCAUCUUCGUCUCGACCCUUUUUACUAAAAGUUCUCGAAAGCGCGAAUCUCGAAGGGCUAUUAGAUGUCCGGAUCGAACUCUUUGACAAAUAGGUCGGUACAGGUGUAGGUGUGUGGCUCCUCCUACUCGAA